CACUCACACACACUCUUCUGCCGCCGCAUUUUCUGGUACAGUGUUUGUUUCUUUAACAAAGAGCAGUGACUGCCCCGUGUGCGUGGGGAAUCAUUCUACUGCCCCUGGGCCCCUGUGGCCCGCGCUCAGAGGGGCCUGGCGUGGUAAUCACCAGUUUCAUUUAUGGGCACCUUUUGCUGCUCCACAACCAGUCUUGAGCUGAGAAGAAACCCUGCUGAAUGUAAGUGGUAGCUCUUGAAAAUAACGUGGGAACCGUGGAAAUAACCCUCGAAUAGGGCCCGAAUGUCAGGGAACCACGGGAGGCCCCACUGAUUUAAGUCCCCGAAGAACCUGAGGAUUUACUGGUCUUCUCUUUCUUUUUUAAAGCUAUUAAUGCCGCUUCAUUUAUUGGGGGAGGGGGGAUUCUUCCUUUCCUAUCUUAAAAAGCAACUCUGGGGACUUAAGAGACUUUUACUUGAAAGGGGAAACUCUUGGAUAGCAAAUAGGGUUAGUCAAAAUGAUCCUCUUUAAAAAAAAAAAAAAAAAGAUCCUCUUAACUCUAAUGCAGUUUUAUUGAUUCCCGAGUUUUAAAACCUGACAAGUCUGUGGCGCCCUUUCGGACUAAAGAAUUUGCAGCUUUGUAACUCUCAUAUCGUUGGUGCACAGUGAGCAGGACACUACAAGCCCAGCACCUUUUCUAGGGAAGCAUUUCUAAUCCCCUAUUUCCUGUCAAAUAACCUGUCACUCGUAGGAAUCCGUGUCCACUCAGAUAUUUGAAGGAAUUAGUGAUCAAUGCUGCUGCAUCUCCAUGUCAAAAACCUGGCGUAUUCAGGAGAAUGCAAGGACAAAGCCCGAUGCCUGGAGUGAGAAGAUCUCCCAGUAAGAAAUGCAUUGCCCCUCCAGCCAAUUGGAAGGAAGCUGGAAGGUUUGAGGUGGAUGGCUUUGCUCACAUUUUCUGAAUGGACCACAUGGAGAGAGCGGGAGAUUCUCAAUACCACCCAAGAACCUUUCUGAUCAGUGAGAUGGCAAGCCGUCAGCCAGGUAGAGCCCUGUUAACCCAGAGGGAGGGGAAGGGAAGGAGAAAAAGAGGGAGAGAAACAUCAAUACGUGGUUGCCUCUCAUGCACUUCAAACUGGGGGCCUGGCUCACUACCCAGGCACGUGCCCUGACUGGACGUCGAACCUGCCGAUGCUCAAUCCACGAAGCCACGCCAGCCGGGGCCAUCAAUACCCUUCUACAGGUCAGUAAAGCCAGGUUUGCUUGUUUUCUCUUUAAACAGGAUAUGCAUAUAUCAUUACAUGAAUGUUAGGAUUUGUUUUAAGUUGUUCAUUCUCCUGUUUAGCACCCUUCAUUCAAUCUUUUAGUCAUUUAUCUUUAUUUGUAUUGUCGUUCAACAUAAAUACAUCAAGUCCUCUGAUGUAUUUUUUUGUAAGGUUUCAUUUCAAUUAUUUUUAGUUAGGGGGAAAG